GUAGGUGGCAAGCGUUGUCCGGAAUUAUUGGGCGUAAAGCGCGCGCAGGCGGUUCUUUAAGUCUGAUGUGAAAGCCCACGGCUCAACCGUGGAGGGUCAUUGGAAACUGGAGAACUUGAGUACAGAAGAGGAAGGCGGAAUUCCACGUGUAGCGGUGAAAUGCGUAGAGAUGUGGAGGAACACCAGUGGCGAAGGCGGCUUUCUGGUCUGUAACUGACGCUGAGGCGCGAAAGCGUGGGGAGCAAACAGGAUUAGAUACCCUGGUAGUCCACGCCGUAAACGAUGAGUGCUAAGUGUUAGGGGGGUUUUCCGCCCCCCUUAGUGCUGCAGCUAACGCAUUAAGCACUCCGCCUGGGAGUACGGCCGCAAGGCUG
rnacentral:rRNA from 1 species